UACGGGGGGGGUAAGCGUUGUUCGGAAUUACUGGGCGUAAAGGGCUCGUAGGCGGCCAACUAAGUCAUACGUGAAAUCCCUCAGCUUAACUGGGGAACUGCGUGUGAUACUGGAUGGCUUGGAUUUGGGAGAGGGAUGCGGAAUUCCAGGUGUAGCGGUGAAAUGCGUAGAUAUCUGGAGGAACACCGGUGGCGAAGGCGGCAGCCUGGACCAAUAUUGACGCUGAGGAGCGCAAGCCAGGGGAGCAAACGGG
rnacentral:rRNA from 1 species